GCGGGUGCAAUAAUCCCGAGUGCACAAGCCCCUGACAGCGACGGGAAGCCGGUGGGAGUCCGGCACGGUCGCGCCACUGUGAGCAUCGACGAGAUGCGAGCCAGAGAACGUCCUGCUCGGGGCCCUUUCCGCGA
rnacentral:ncRNA from 2 species